rnacentral:rRNA from 1 species
UACGAAGGGGGCUAGCGUUGCUCGGAAUCACUGGGCGUAAAGCGCACGUAGGCGGGUCCUUAAGUCAGGGGUGAAAUCCCGGAGCUCAACUCCGGAACUGCCUUUGAUACUGGGGAUCUUGAGUGUAGUCGAGGUAGGCGGAAUUGACGGUGUAGCGGUGAAAUGCUUAGAUAUCGUCAAGAACACCGAUAGUGUAGACAGCUUACUAGGCUACAACUGACGCUGAGGCACGAAAGUGUGGGGAUCAAACAGG